rnacentral:rRNA from 1 species
AGUGAACGCUGGCGGUAGGCCUAACACAUGCAAGUCGAACGGCAGCACAGUAAGAGCUUGCUCUUACGGGUGGCGAGUGGCGGACGGGUGAGGAAUACAUCGGAAUCUACUUUUUCGUGGGGGAUAACGUAGGGAAACUUACGCUAAUACCGCAUACGCCCUACGGGUGAAAGCAGGGGAUCUUCGGACCUUGCGCGAUUGAAUGAGCCGAUGUCGGAUUAGCUAGUUGGUGGGGUAAAGGCCCACCCAGGCGACGAUCCGUAGCUGGACUGAGAGGCGGGUCAGCCACACUGGAACUGAGACACGGUCCAGACUCCUACGGGAGGCAGCAGUGGGGAAUAUUGGACAAUGGGCGCAAGCCUGAUCCAGCCAGACCGCGUGGGUGAAGAAGGCCUUCGGGUUGGAAAGCCCGUUUGUUGGGAAAGAAAAGCAGCAGGUUAAUACCCCGCUGGUCUGACGGUAACCAAAGAAGAAGCACCGGCUAACUUCGUG